UGAGAGUUCCCUGUUCUGGAUGUUCUCUACAAGUGCAGUCAUCCAAAACGGGACCUUUCUGG
ensembl:miRNA